UUGGUGCUGGGGUUGGGUAGACCAACUUCUGCCAAAUGGUGCCCUUGGUUGCUGGUUACAAUUUCUGAGCAUCAACAUGGCAACCAUCUCCUUCAUCUGGAGAGUUCUCCACCAAAUUAAGUACCAAACUAGUGGAAGAACGAAGCCUACACAUUUUGUGUGUGUGUGUGUGUGUGUGUGUGUGUGUGUGUGUGUGUUUCCUCACCCGCCCGUUCCAGGCUUGCUCCCUGGCAUCACACUGCCCUGCUGCACAGGGAAUGACUUUCUGCCCAUGGGAACACACCGCCCAAAGUGGACAGCAAAGAAGAGGCUGUGAUGGAGGAGCCCCAUUUCCUGCUUCAGUCCUUCACUGUCUUCAGCACCAGGCUGUUCCACCAAUGCCUCUGGCUGGUGGCCAGCUCCUGUCUGGACAGGAGGAAAUGGAGACAUGAGGAGUGGUGCACGGUGCUCAAGAGCAGAAAUUCCACCGGAAAGGAAACAAUAGCCGAGGAGAGUCAUUUUUCCAGAGAGUAGAGGUCCAGGAGACAGGCAGGACCUUCCUGCUUCAGCAGAAUAAACAAGCCCACUGGGGAAGCCCCAGCUAUGUACCACCCUCCAGGUCAAGGCCUAGCCAUAUAGUCCAGGUAGACCUUGAACUGACCCUCCCGACACAGCCUCCCCAGUGAUGGCACUACAGGGUUACAGUGCUUAGAAGUGGGUGCAGUUGGUUGACUGUCCUGUGCAUAGAGAAACAGAUACACAGGGGGUGAUAUCUGGCUGUGACCACAGCUCUCUGAAGAAGCCAGAACCUCGAAGACUCCCCAGAAUUACUGGAAGUUGGAGAUUUUGAAGAGAUAAAAUGUUGCAGCCAGAGAGCCAAGUUAUCUGGGGCGUUCAUAGCUGCUUCUUGGCAGCCUCUCUACCUGCCCUAGUAGGUGAAGCAUUGAGCUUCCAGAGCCCACCUCUCUCCAUGCCCUGUUGCGUUGCUGGGAGUUGACAGCACACACGGCUGUGCCUGGCUCUUCACUUGAGCAUUGAAAAUCAAACUCAGGUCCCCAUGCUUGCACGGCAAGCCCUCCUACCCCCUGAGCCAUCUCCAGGCCUCUGCCACCUCCGUUUAUUAGACAGGGUCUCUCACUCCACCUGGAGCUUGCUGAUUCUGCUGGGCUGAUGGGUCAGCAUACUCCUGGGAUCUGUCUGUCUGCCUCCCCAGUGGUGGGAUUUCAGUUGCAUGCUAACCUUGCCUGCUUUUUAGGAGUGUGCCAAUCAUCAAAUCUGGGUCCUCAUGUGGUGAGCAUUCUACAGACUGAGCCAUCUCCCCAGAGUCUUUUCCAAGAGCUUUUGAGAUCUCUGGAGCCCUGAGCAACCAUCUUGCAUCAGAAUUGUAGGACAUGGUUGUUUGGGUUUAGUUUUUGUUUUUCAUUAGAUGUCUAGGUACAUCUAGGACAGAGAUGACGCAAAUCGUGUGGUAUUUCAGGUCCUUGCUGCCCUGAGGCAGGUGCUGAAGUUAGAGUCUUCUGUCACACAGGAGGCCCAGGGGCCAGGUUCAGCCCAGACUUCAGGUACUGGGAAGAAUUCAGUCAAUUUCAUAGGAAUGUCACAGCAAGAGACGUGCUUGGCAGAAGACCUGGGCCAAUAUGGGUCAUUAACAUGAUUUCAUCAGCAAAAUUUUCCUUUGCCUUGGGGCCCAGAAAAGAUGGAGAGAUGUUGAGUCUGUGGAGGGAUAGAGGAUGGGCAUUUAGAUGUAUUGCUUUUAUUUUUUACUUUUUCUUUUUAAUAUUUAUUUGUGUUAGUGUGUUUUAGUGUGUUUUUGGCACACUUGUGUGCAAAAGUAUGUAAAGCCCAGAGGGUGACACUGGGUGUCUCCUCUAGCACUGAACACCUUAACCUUACUUAGUAUAUUUAUACUUAGUAUAUUUGUGUUUUUAAACUGAAUUUUGCCAGGCAGCGGUGGCGCACACCUUUAAUCCUGGCACUCGGGUGGCAGAGACAGGCAGAUC